rnacentral:rRNA from 1 species
GCCAUCGGCCAUACCAUGCUGAAUACGUCGGUUCUCGUCCGAUCACCGAAGCUAAGCAGCAUUGGGCUCGGUCAUUACUUGGGAGGCAAACCACCUGGGAACACCGAGUGCUGAUAGCA